GGAAGCAUUUAGGGGUGGUUUGAAAAAACCUGAGAAUAUACCCAUAGCACCUGAUCCAGAUAAUGCUGGCGAAGGAAUAAAUGUUUCCUGGGGCU
rnacentral:ncRNA from 2 species